rnacentral:rRNA from 1 species
GUAGGGAAUCUUCCACAAUGGACGAAAGUCUGAUGGAGCAACGCCGCGUGAGUGAAGAAGGUCUUCGGAUCGUAAAACUCUGUUGUUAGAGAAGAACGUGCAUGAUAGUAACUGAUCAUGUAAUGACGGUAUCUAACCAGAAAGCCACGGCUAACUACGUGCCAGCAGCCGCGGUAAUACGUAGGUGGCAAGCGUUGUCCGGAUUUAUUGGGCGUAAAGGGAACGCAGGCGGUUUUUUAAGUCUGAUGUGAAAGCCUUCGGCUUAACCGAAGAAUAGCAUUGGAAACUGGAAGAAUUGAGUGCAGAAGAGGAGAGUGGAAUUCCAUGUGUAGCGGUGAAAUGCGUAGAUAUAUGGAGGAACACCAGUGGCGAAAGCGGCUCUCUGGUCUGUAACUGACGCUGAGGUUCGAAAGCGUGGGUAGCAAACAGGAUUAGAAACCCUAGUAGUCC